GACCACAAGCACCGAAGCGAGCUGAAGAUGCGCCGUCGUCAUCGCCUCUCCCUCGCGGGAGCCGAAAACAACUUGUUGUAGUAGACAGUUGGGAAGUCAUCAUGCCAAGGCCUCAUAGGACCAAUGCACCAGAACAGUAACCACCACCAAUGAAGAGAAAGUUGUUAUUUUAUAUUUCCUUAUAUCAUGAUAAAUGUUUAUUAUUCAUGCUAAAAUUGUAUUAACCGGAAACUUGAUACAUGUGUGGAUAUAUAGACAAAACACAGUGUCCCUAGUAAGCCUCUACUAGACUAGCUCGUUAAUCAAAGAUGGUCAAGUUUCCUAACCAUAGACAUGUGUUGUCAUUUGAUGAACGAGAUCACAUCAUUAGGAGAAUGAUGUGAUGGACAAGACCCAUCCGUUAGCUUAGCAUAAUGAUCGUUAAGUUUUAUUGCUAUUGCUUUCUUCAUGACUUAUACAUAUUCCUUUGACUAUGAGAUUAUGCAACUCCCGGAUACGGGAGGAAUACCUUGUGUGCUAUCAAACGUCACAACGUAACUGAGUGAUUAUAAAGAUGCUCUACAGGUAUCUCCGAAGGUGUUUGUUGGGUUGGCAUAGAUCGAGAUUAGGAUUUGUCACCGAGUAUCGGAGAGGUAUCUUUGGGCCCUCUCGGUAAUGCACAUCAUAAUAAGCCUUGCAAGCAAUGUGACUAAUGAGUUAGUUGCGAGAUGAUGUAUUAGAGAACGAGUAAAGAGACUUGCCGGUAACGAGAUUGAACUAGGUAUGAAGAUACCGAUGAUCGAAUCUCGGGCAAGUAACAUACCGAUGACAAAGGGAAUAACGUAUGUUGUCAUAAUGGUUCGACCAAUAAAGAUCUUCGUAGAAUAUGUGGGAGCCAAUUUGAGCAUCCAGGUUCCGCUAUUGGUUAUUGACCGGAGAGGAGUCUCGGUCAUGUCUACAUAGUUCUCGAACCCGCAGGGUCCGCACGCUUAACGUUCAAUGAUGAUUUGUAUUAUAUAAGUUAUGUGAUUUGGUGACCGAAUGUUGUUCGGAGUCCCGGAUGAGAUCAUGGAAAUGACGAGGAGUCUCAAAAUGGUCGAGAGGUAAAGAUUCAUAUAUAGGACGAUGAUAUUCGGACACCAGAAGUGUUCCAGGGGUACCGGGUACAUAUCGGGUCACCGGAAGGGGUUUCGGGCACCCCCCGACAAAGAUAUGGGCCUAUUGGGCCAAGAGGGGAAACGCAGCAGCCAACAUGGGCUGUUGCGCCCCCCAUGUAGGCCGAAUAGGAAGGGGAAGGAAAAGGGGGAAGAGAGAAAGGAAGGGGAGGGAUUCGGCCUCCCCCUUCCUUCUCUCCCUCUCCUCCUUCCUUCUCCCUCCGGAAAACAUGGUAAGGGGCGGGGCGAAUUGGACUAGGCCCCCAAGUAGGAUUCCUCCUACUUGGGGCGCCCUAGGGCUGUUCCCCUCCUCCUCCCACCUAUAUAUACGUGGGGAGGGGGCGCCUAGAACACACAUCAAACAUUGUUAGCCGUGUGCGGCGCCCCCCUCCACAGUUUACGCCUCCGGUCAUAUUCACGUAGUGCUUAGGCGAAGCCCUGCGUGGAUCACUUCACCAUCACCGUCACCACGCCAUCGUGCUGACGGAACUCUCCCUCGACACUUUGCUGGAUCAAGAGUUCGAGGGACGUCAUCGAGUUGAACGUGUGUAGAACUCGGAGGUGCCGUACGUUCGGUACUUGAUCGGUCGGAACAAGAAGAACUCUGACUACAUCAACCGCGUUAACAAACGUUCUGCUUUCGGUCUACGAGGGUACGUGGACACACUCUUCCCCUCUCGUUGCUAUGCAUCUCCUAGAUAGAUCUUGCGUGAGCGUAGGAUUUUUUUUCAAAAUUGCAUGCUACGUUUCCCAACAGUGGCAUCCGAGCCAGGUCUACGCGUAGAUGAUAUGCAUGAGUAGAACACAAAGAGUUGUGGGCGGUGAUAGUCAUACUGCUUACCACCAACGUCUUAUUUUGAUUCGGCGGUAUUGUUGGAUGAAGCGGCCCGGACCAACCUUACAUGACCACGUUCAUGAGAUCGGUUCCACCGACAGACAUGCAACUAGUUUUGCAUAAAGGUGGCUGGCGGGUGUCUGUUUCUCCAACUUUAGUUGAAUCGAAUUUGACUACGGCCGGUCCUUGUUGAAGGUUAAAAUAGCAAACUUGACGAAACACCAUUGUGGUUUUGAUGCGUAGGUAAGAACGAUUCUUACUAGAAACCUGUAGCAGCCACGUAAAACUUGCAACAACAAAGUAGAGGACGUCUAACUUGUUUUUGCAGGGCAUGUUGUGAUGUGAUAUGGUCAAGGCAUGAUGUGAUAUACGUUGUUGUAUGAGAUGAUCAUGUUUUGUAAAACUUAUCGGCAACUGGCAGGGGCCUUAUGGUUGUCGCUUUAUUGUACGAAAUGAAAACGCCAUAUAAUUGCUUUACUUUAUCACUAUGCGUUAGCGAUAGUUGUAGAAGCAAUAGUUGGCGAGACGACCACGACACUAUGAUGGAGAUCAAGGUGUCAAGCCGGUGACGAUGGAGAUCAUGACGGUGCUUUGGAGAUGGAGAUCAAAGGCACAAGAUGAUGAUGGCCAUAUCAUGUCACAUAUUUUGAUUGCAUGUGAUGUUUAUCUUUUAUGCAUCUUGUUUUGCUUAGUAUGGCGGUAGCAUUAUAAGAUGAUCCCUUACUUAAAUUUUCAAGGUAUAAGUGUUCUCCCUGAGUAUGCACCGUUGCGACAGUUCUUCAUGCUGAGACACCACGUGAUGAUCGGGUGUGAUAGGCUCUACGUUCACAUACAAUGGGUGCAAGACAGUUUUGCACAUGCGGAAUACUCGGGUUAAACUUGACGAGCCUAGCAUGUACAAACAUGGCCUGAGAACACUGGAGAAUGAAAGGUCGAACGUGAAUCAUAUAGUAGAUAUGAUCAACAUAGAGAUGUUCACCUUUGAUGACUACUCCAUGUCACAUGAUGAUCGGACAUGGUUUAGUUGAUUUGGAUCACGUAUCAUUUAGAUGACUUGAGGGAUGACUAUCUAAGUGGGAGUUCUUAAGUAAUUUGAUUAAUUAAACUUUAAUUUAUCAUGCACUUAGUCCUAGUAGUAUUCGCAAAUUAUGUUGUAGAUCAAUAGCUCGCGUUGUAGCUCCCCUAUGUUUUUUAUAUGUUCCUAGAGAAAACUAAGUUGAAAGAUGAUAGUAGCAAUGAUGCGGACUGGGUCCGUGAUCUGAGGAUUAUCCUCAUUGUUGCACAUAAGAAUUAUGUCCUGGAUGCAACGCUAGGUGACAGACCUAUUGCAGGAGCAGAUGCAAAUGUUAUGAACGUUUGGCAAGCUCGAUAUGAUGACUACUUGAUAGUUUAGUGCGCCAUGCUUUACGACUUAGAAUUGGGGCUUCAAAGACGUUUUGAACGCCACGGAGCAUAUGAGAUGUUCCAAGAGCUGAAAUUGGUAUUUCAAACUCAUGCCCAUGUCGAGAGGUAUGAGACCUCUGACAAGUACUUUGCCUACAAGAUGGAGGAGAAUAGCUCAGCUAGUGAGCAUGUGCUCAGAAUGUCUGGGUACUACAAUCACUUGAAUCAAGUGGGAGUUAAUCUUCCAGAUAAGAUAUUGGUUGACAAAGUUCUCUAGUCACUAUCACCAAGCUACUAGAACUUCGUGAUGAACUAUAAUAUGCAAGGGAUGACGAAAAUGAUUCCCGAGCUCUUCGCGAUGCUGAAAUCAGCGAAUGUAGAAAUCAAGAAAGAGCAUCAAGUGUUGAUGGUUAACAAGACCACUAGUUUCAAGAAAAAGGGCAAAGGAAAGGAAAGGGAACUUCAAGAAGAAUAGCAAGCAAGUUGCCACUCACGUGAAGAAGCCCAAAGCUAGACCUAAGCCUGAAACUGAGUGCUUCUACUGCAAAGGGAAUGGUCACUGUAAGCGGAACUACCCUAAAUAAUUGGCGGAUAAUAAGGAUGGCAAAGUGAACAAAAUUAUAUUUGAUAUACAUGUUAUUGAUGUGUACUUUACUAGUGUUCAUAGUAACCCCAGGGUAUUUGAUACCGGUUCAGUUGCUAAGAUUAGUAACUCGAAACAGGAGUUGCAAAAUGAACAGAGACUAGUUAAGGGCGAGGUGACGAUGUGUGUUGGAAGUGAUUUCAAGGUUGAUAAGAUCACCAUCGCACACACCCUCUACCUUCGGGAUUAGUGUUGGACCUAAAUAAAUGUUAUUUGGUGUUUGCGUUAAGCAUGAAUAUGAUUGGAUCAUGUUUAUUGUGAUACGGUUAUUCAUUUAAGUCAGAUAAUAAUUGUUGUUCUGUUUACAUGAAUAAAACCUUCUAUGGUCAUACACCCAAUGUAAAUGGUUUAUUGAAUCUCGAUCGUAGUGAUACACAUCUAUAAUACCUAAAUAGUUCAUCCCCACUACCCUAUUUCUCUUGACAUGCAAGCUAUCCACAUCAGCAUCAGUGCCACAUCAACAUUUAGUUGGAGGAUUACAUGUGGGACCAACCACACUAGAAAAUAGCCAUGUAAACAGCCAUGUUAGCUUCUGUUUCCGCGGGUAGGACCGGCGAGAGAGGCUGCCCACGCAUGUCUAUUUUCGUCUGUGGCGAUUCCCAUCGCACCCUUCCCAACAGAGCGCCUCACCAGUUCCCCGCGGCAGCGGAUUCCCCUUCCUCUUCAUCUUCUCCGAUCUCCGUCAAAUCCCACUACACAGUUACUCUUAUCGAUUCAGUUGCUCUUACAAUCUGGUAUUUCUCUCCGGACCGCUUGCGAUUUAUUAAGUUAAGCGAUGGCGAGGGCGUGCCCCCUUGCAACAAGACCCACAGGCGGUUGCCUCAGCGCUGUCUCGGCUUCCCCGACGUAGGGGCCCCCGCCCUGGAAGAAGAGCGCCUCGCAGCGGAUGCCACUGCGCUGACAUCGACCCCAUCCACUCUCGGCGAUUACCUUGCCGUCGUGUGUCGGGUGCCUCGACAGAAGGCCAGGAAGGCUCCCCUUGAGCGGCCAACCCUUCUCGUUGCCGCUCAACUUCCCCACCACGCAUCCGCGGGCUCUCGCCUGGAUGGACGCUCUUACCGACAACUCAUCCAUGGAGUGGACGUCGUGCCAGGGAGGUCUCCAGCCGGUAAACGUUUUUCUUUUCGGCCUCGAAGGGCUGGGCUGGUAGUGACAUCGGGUAGGGCCUCCAUUGAUAGCCAUGACUUGCAGGAGUGCUAGAUUGACGUCCUCCCUCCCGUAGGUGCCGCCUCGGCUGAUUCAGAGACAACAUUGACCGCGGCAAUGGUGGCCCUUCUUAGCAAGUGACAUUCUACUGCAGCAAUGGUGCCUUUUUUGUUUUGGGGCAAGCUGACCUCAUUUAUCUGCGCAGGAAGUCUGGCUCCUUUCUAUCAACGAUGGAUUUGCAAGGUUCAGUACCUGUUCUUCAGUACAUAUUUGGUAUUCUGUCUUAAAAAAUCAUUCAAAAGAGAUCGCAUGAACUGUACAGGCACACCCACUGCUUUAUGCCUUUUGCCAUCUAUAUUUAACAGGAGAUAGGAUUUUCAGCACCUGGAUGCCCCUACACCCUCAAUGGUGCGUUCUAUGAUGUCUCUUACCGAUUUACCAAUAUCGUUUUGGGGUUAUGCAUUAAAGACAGCCGCAUUCACAUUAAAUAGGGCACCAUCUAAAUCCAUUGAGAUGACACCGUAUGAACCGUGAUUUGGCAAGAAACCUAAGCUGUCGUUUCUUAAAGUUUGGGAUUGUGAUGCUUAUGUGAAAAAGUUUCAACCUAACAAGCUCGAACCCAAAUCGGAGAAGUGCGUCUUCAUAGGAUACCCAAAAGAAACUGUUGGGUACACCUUCUAUCACAGAUCCGAAGGCAAGAUCUUUGUUGCUGAGAAUGGAUCCUUUCUAGAGGAGUUUUCUCUCGAAAGAAGUGAGUAGGAGGAAAGUGGAACUUGAUGAGGUAAUUGUACCUUCUCUCGAAUUGGAAGGUAGCUCAUCACAGAAAACCGUUCCCGUGAUGCCUACACCAACUAGAGAGGAAGCUAAUGAUAAUGAUCAUGAAACUUCAGAUCAAGUUACUACCGAACCUCGUAGGUCAACCAGAGCACGUUUCGCACCAGAGUGGUACGGUAAUCCUGUUCUGGAAGUCAUGUUACUAGACCAUGACGAACCUAUGAACUAUGAGGAAGCGAUGAUGAGCCCAGAUUCUGCAAUGGCUUGAGGCCAUGAAAUCUGAGAUAGGAUCCAUGUAUGAGAACAAAAUAUGGAUUUUGGUUGACUUGCCCGGUGAUCGGCAAGCCAUUGAGAAUAAAUGGAUCUUCAAGAGGAAGACGGAUGCUGAUGGUAGUGUUACUAUCUACAAAGCUUGACUUGUCGCAAAAGGUUUUCGACAAGUUCAAAGUGUUGACUACGAUGAGAUUUUCUCACUCGUAGCGAUGCUUAAGUCUGUCCGAAUCAUGUUAGCAAUUGUCGCAUUUUAUCAAAUCUGGCAAAUGGAUGUCAAAACUGCAUUCCUUAAUGGAUUUCUUAAAAAAGAGUUGUAUAUGAUGCAACUAAAAGAUUUUGUCGAUCCUAAAGGUGCUAACAAAGUGUGCAAACUCCAGCGAUCCAUCUAUGGACUGGUGCAAGCAUCUCGGAGUUGGAAUAUACGCUUUGAUAAGUUGAUCAAAGCAUAUAGUUUUAUAUAGACUUGCGGUGAAGCCUGUAUUUACAAGAAAGUGAGUGGGAGCACUGCAUCCUUUCUGAUAAGUAUAUGUGAAUGACAUAUUGUUGAUCGAAAAUGAUGUAUAAUUUUUUUGGAAAGCAUAAAGGAGUGUUUGAAAGGAGUUUUUUUCAAAGAAAAACCUCGGUGAAGCUGCUUACAUAUUGGGCAUCAAGAUCUAUAGAGAUAGAUCAAGACGCGUGAUAAGACUUUCGAUGAGUACAUACCUUGAUAAGAUUUUGAAGGAGUUCAAAAUGGAUCAGUCAAAGGAGUUCUUGCCUGAGUUGUAAGGUAUGAAGUUGAGUAAGACUCAAAACCCGACCAUGGCAGAAGAUAGAAAGAGUAUGCAAGUCAUUCCCUAUGCCUCAGCCGUAGGUUCUAUAAUGUAUGCCAUGCUGUAUACCAGAUCUAUUGUGUACCUUGCCAUGAGUUUGGCAAGGGGAUACAAUAGUGAUCCAGGAGUAGAUCACUGGCAACGGUCAAAAUUAUCCUUAGGUACCUAAAGAGGACUAAGGAAAGGUUAUGGAAGUGACAAAGAGUUCGUCGUAAAGGGUUACGUCAAUGCAAAGCUAUGACACUAAUCUAGAUGACUCUGAGUCUCAAUCUGGAUACGUAUUGAAAGUGGGAGCAAUUAGCUAGAGUAGCUCCAUGCAUAGCAUUGUAGACAUAGAAAUUUGCGGAAUACAUACGGAUCUGUAUGUGGCAGACCCAUUGACUAAACUUCUCUCACAAGCAAAACAUGAUCACACCUUAGUACUCUUUGAGUGUUAAUCACAUGGCGAUGUGAACUAGAUUACUGACUCUAGUAAACCCUCUGGGUGUUGGUCACAUGGCGAUGUGAACUAUGGGUUAAUCACAUGGUGAUGUGAACUAUUGGUGUUAAAUCACAUGAUGAUGUGAACUAGAUUAUUGACUCUAGUGCAAGUGGGAGACUGAAGGAAAUAUGCCCUAGAGAUAAUAAUAAAGUUGUUAUUUUAUACUCCCUCCGUUCCGAAAUAAUUGUGAGUUUCUAGUGCAAUUUCCGCCGCGUUACGACAUUUCUGUCGUUUCCGAAACUACCCUCCCACUCUCUCGCUCGCUUAGCUCAGCCACUCGCUCGCUGGCUCUCGAACCCCUAGCUCACCGCCACCGGCGCCUCUCCGUCGCACGCGUUGCCGGCGCCUCUACCCCGCACGCAGCGCCUCCGCCUCUCCCUCUCGCGUCGUCGCCGCCUUUCCAUGUUGCCAUACACCGUCGCCUCUCCCUCUUCAAGAUUUCAUUUUUACUCCAGCGGCUAGAUCUGAAGCGCGGCUGCUCCACCUUCCUCAGGGUUGCGGGGAUCUCCGGCGGCUGGAUCUGAAGCGCGGCUGCUCCACCUUCCUCAGGGUGGCGGGGAUCUCCGGCUCGCUGCGCAUGGGAAGGGCCCGACCGCCGGCGGCCGCUGCGGGCAGAAUGGGAACUGCGUCGGCGACGUCGUCGGCGUCCCAGGGACAGGGCACGGCGGCACGCACUGCGGGACAGGGCACGGCGGCACGCACUGCGUGACAGGGCACGGCGACACGCACUGCCGUUGCCGCCGUCCGCCAGCGCGCCGCUGGCUGACAGGAGCAGCCACAACCACGAGGCCACGACGAGCAGGACUGUUGGCGACGGGUUGGUGCAGUCCCGCGAGGACCGCGCCGUGUGGGAUGCCGAGAUGACGUUGCCGGAGAAGGAGUCUCCGACUACCUCACGCCCACCGCUGGCCUGCACAUCAGGUAACCCACCCGCCGCUGGCCUGCACAUCACUGAAUAAAUUUCUGUAAAUUUCAGAGAUGAUGCAUGAAGUUUUGUACUCUGAAAGUUUAGGAGUACACUGGAUAAAUUUCUGUAAAUUUUUGAGUACUACUGCUUGUAGGGCGGCUUGUACGGCGUGUACUCUGGAAGUUUAGGAGUAGAUGAUGCAUGCAGCUGCUUAUGAUAAAUUUCAGUAACCAUUGUGCUCGUGUGUUCAUUGUGCCUUUGGCUUAAAAUGGUUACUACUCCUAAACUUUCAGAACAUCACCUUGCAGUGUUCAGUAAUGGAAUAAAAGUUUAGGACUAUCUGGAGUUCAUUGUGCUCGUGUGUUUAUUGUGCACUACUGCUGCUGCUUGUGCAUCUGUUUCAGGCUCUGAAUUUGCUUUUGUUCUUGUGACUGUCCGUCAGGUCGCCGAGCCCGUACGCCGGUGUGAGCAGCCUGGGUUGCCGGGUGCUCGCCGUCCGGCAGCACACCACGGUGCGACACGGGGUGGUGGAGGCCGAGGCUCACCUAGGUCGAACCAUAUGGUGGCAGUAGGAGGGGACAGAGCACCGUGUGGUGUGAGCGCCGAUUGAAAAUCACCAGCGAGUCCUACUUCAACUACGAUGCAAUGUGAGCCUCACUUGCCGUCCUCCCUCUCUUUUUCUUUUGUGAGAGCAAAAAUGCAUUUCAGUUUUGAGUUUGCUCUGCUCUGAGAGAGAGAGAGAGAGAGAGAUGGUGGCCAGCUUUAAGUUGUCCUGUGAUUUUGUUUCCACCUGAAUGUGCUAUAUGAACACUUCCUUGUUGUUUGUAUACACUGUCGAGUCAAAUUGCCUAACUUCUGAAUGUCUACAUGACCAUUCUUUGCGUCUGUCAAUGAAAAUCAAUGUUAGCAAUGUUUAGUUUUACCAAUGUGUUCUGAAAAUAAAAAUCCAUUUAGUGAGCACAUUUGCUAGGAGUACAGUGUUACACAUGCCAAUGUUCAGUUUUACCAAUGUUCAAUUUUGAGAGGGAAUACUCCAUUUAGUGAGCACAUUUGCUGGCUUGCAAUAAGAGGAUUAGCAGUAGUUCAUAUUCUUAGUAUCUUCUCUGUAGGAGUAGUUUCAGUUAACUAACUGAAACUUUCUACUCCUCUUCUGCAGGAGCAUCUUCUUGCUCUCUUCUCUCUUCUUAUCUCUUCUUUCUCUCUUCUUAUCUCUCCUCUCUUCUCUUAUCUUAUCCUCUCCUCUUCUUAGAUAAUUUUAAUUAACUGGAAAUUAAACCUUUUCUUUUAGUUAAAUCUAAUUAAACAUUUCUGUUAAUUAAACUUAAAUUGAACCUUUUCUGUUACUAAAUCAAACCUUUUGUGUUAAAAUUAAAUUAAACUUUUUCCUCUCCUCUCCUAUUCCACUCCACUCCUCUCUCUUCUAUUCCACUCCUUUCCUCUCAUAUUCCCCUCCUAGUCCUUUCCUUUAAUAGCAGCAACAACAACAAGUCCUUUUCUUUAAUUAAUUAAAACUAAAGGACUAUGGAUUAUGACACAUACUCUUCUCUAAUUCACUCCUCUCCUAUCAUAGAAUGAUCAUACAAAUGGAGUAGUAGAAAUAUACACAUACAAAUGGAGUAUGGAGUAAAAAAAUACAUGGAGUAAAAGUGCAAAAUCAAAUGGAGUAACAUUUUAAAUGGAGUUACACAUACAAGUGGAGUUAGACAUACUCCAACAUACUCCACACAAACAGCGUACUCCAACAUACUCAAAUAUGGAUUAUUACAAACAUGACAAGCAUCACUAGCAUCACAACCUCAUCGCAAGCAACUAGCAUCAUCACUAGCAUCACAAGCAUCAUCACUAGCAUCAGAGCCUCAUCACUAGCAUGAGAGACUCAUCGCAAGCAUCACAAGCAUCAUCACUAGCAUCACAGCCUCAUCGCAAGCAUCACAAGCAUCAUCACCAGCAUCACAGCCUCAUCGCAAGCNNNNNNNNNNNNNNNNNNNNNNNNNNNNNNNNNNNNNNNNNNNNNNNNNNNNNNNNNNNNNNNNNNNNNNNNNNNNNNNNNNNNNNNNNNNNNNNNNNNNNNNNNNNNNNNNNNNNNNNNNNNNNNNNNNNNNNNNNNNNNNNNNNNNNNNNNNNNNNNNNNNNNNNNNNNNNNNNNNNNNNNNNNNNNNNNNNNNNNNNNNNNNNNNNNNNNNNNNNNNNNNNNNNNNNNNNNNNNNNNNNNNNNNNNNNNNNNNNNNNNNNNNNNNNNNNNNNNNNNNNNNNNNNNNNNNNNNNNNNNNNNNNNNNNNNNNAAGCAUCAUCACUAGCAUCACAAGCAUCAUCACUGGCAUCAUAAGCAUCAUCACUAGCAUCACAGCCUCAUCACUAGCAUCACAAGCAUCACAGCCUCAUCACUAGCAUCAGUGCCUCAUCGCAAGCAUCAUCACUAGCAUCACAAGCAUCAUCACUAGCAUCACAACCUCACCGCAAGCAUCAUCACAAGCUCAUAUUCCAUUAAUGAACCCUCUCCAUUAGCCCUAAGUUGUGCAGGGCAUUUGCAUACACCUCUGGAGGGCAUGAUAAUCUUUGAGGUAGUUGCCCAAGCCCCUCAAGCUUUUCCUUGUUUACAUGGGGUAUUUUAUACCCAUUGCCCCCUGCAUGGUUCAGGAUCUCAAUCAUGCACGUCUGCAGAGUUAGGAAAAUUCUGUUGAGCUUGUAAACGUCAUAGCCUUCAAAUUCCUCCAAAACACCCUUAAUAAGGUCUUGUAGUGUUUUAGGACUCAGACAAUCUGUCAGGGAUUGGAGCGAGUUGAAAAACCCAAGGUCAAGCACAUUCAAAUCAGGACUGUUGGGAGGCUGUUGUAUUAUUCUGAUGUCAAGCCUAGUUUUUGCGUCAGCUUCUAGAAAUUCCGGGUCAUCUGGCAAGAUAUGGGGCUUAGCAUUAUCCUGCUGAAUGUAGAUGGUCUGUCCAGCAUCACCUUCGGGCCAAACAGCUUGUAUUGCUGGCAAGACCUUCUCUAUCAGGAACUCCCUCAUCACUUUUCUGUCGGCCUUUAUUGAUUUUGUCUCUAUUGUACCUCUGGGCCUGUUGUCGCUUCUCCUUUGAGCAGGAACUUCCUUCAUGAAUGGCCAGAUACCGAUUUUCCCAGAGAAGGUCACGUUUCCUUCACUGUCCCACCUCAGCCUAGCAACGGCCGUCAAGAACAUCACCUUGCCAAUACAGUUGCCAUCUAUAGGCCUCGUAGGCUCUUCCUCCCCAUCCAGCAGAUAAUAUGUUUUAUUCUUCUUUGUCAUGUUAAACCACUUUUCGUCGAUAUGGACAACAUUAUGCAUAGUCUUGAACUUAGGCCUUGCAGUUGCUGUUGUUGCCUCAUCAAGCAUCGACAAACAAAAUUUCAUCCUAUCCUUCUUAUUCUGGUCCUUUAGAGCUGGCUUCACACCGUUUGUAUGCCUCCUUAUCAAGUUUAACGUGAACUUUCUAUGAAGUGUGGUAGGGCUACAUCCCAGUUGCCAGGCAAGUGACCUAAUGCUAGACCUUUUGUUUAAUGGGAUCGUUAGGAUUUUUUCUAGGUUAAUGUCCUUAGGCUUUCUUCCAGAAUUUCCUUUUUUUAUUAGAAACAUCCACCUCUUUACCUUUGCUAAUUUGCUUUCCUCCAAAUUCUUUGUAUAUUCCAAACACCCACUCCAAAUUUUUUUGCAAUGUCUUGCUUAUCAGUUCCCAAAAAAGUGCCUCCUCUACUCAUACACAGUGUAUGCAUUGCUACAUAAGCAGCAAAUUUUUUCUGGUCAUUGAGGGUUUUAUAUUUCCUAGCAACUUGACCAACACCUGUACCAAGACAUACAACAGAGAAAUGAUUAAAUGAAAUGAUCAAGUGAUGAAGUGAUGGAAUGAUCAAGUGAUGAAAUGAUGGAAUGAUCAACUAUAACUGUACCAGGAUUUUGAACUAUUUCAUCUCCUUCCAUCCCCUCUUUUGUAUCUCCUUCCAUUUCUUCUCCUACAUGUCCUUCCAUUUCAUUUUCUGCAUCUUCAUCCAUUUCAUCCACAUCUUCUGUAGGUGGAGUGAAGUUGAGGUCUGGGAGAUCCAUUUUCUCCUGAAGAUAUGAAUAUGUAAGAUGAAGUAGAAGUACAAGUAGAAGCACAAGGUAAUCUAUCUUAUGUUAGUUAACUUGCACCCAAAUGUAAAACGUACAUGACUAUAUUAAAGAAAUAAUUGAACAUCAUUGUAUAAUGUACUUCAUGUCAUGACUAUAACCAUACAUGACUAUAUCAAACAGUUCACAGUUGAUUUGACUUCAGUGGAGACCAAUAUGGUUAGUCUGUUGUUCCAUCUAUCUACUGAGCUUGAUGUUUUCAGAUUAAAUAUCAUGUUUGUGACCUCCGGCCAUGUAUUCCCUUCGCUAGGUAUUUUUUGAUAUGGCGGAUCCACGUAUAACACCUGGCAAACUAUGCCAAGCCCUGGAAACUGUUCAGGCAAUAUUGGUAAUUUUGUUUAUGCUCAGCUUGGUCGAUGCCGUUUAAAUACUCAGCUUGGUCGAUGUCGUUCAAAGUUGAAACGGCUGUUUGUGUGACGGCAGCGCCGCUAGAGUGGCCUGUGGGUCUCUGCUGAUUUCUGGAACUGCGGUGUGGACAGUGGAUUGCACUAUACAUGCAGUGCUCUUGGCUGGGCAUUUGUUUUCACAUCGUGCUGGCUUAGAUCAGUUACUGAUGAACUAACAUGAUGUAUGGAUGCAGAUUAUUAAUGCUGCUAUUUUUGGCUUUUUGCAGUGAACAGUCGAUGCAGGGUAGAACUGCUUAAUGAUACACAUGAGUCUGAUUUUCAGGUGGCCAAAUACACACGAGUCUAAACAAGACAUGGGUCUGCUUUCCUCUUAAGCAGAGUAAGUACUCCAUUACUCCACUCGUAGAUAAACAUAUCAGCAUGAUGCAAAUUGUUGGAGUAAAAAGCAAAAUGGUACUGCAAUUUCAGUACAUUUAAUUAUUUCAAUCAUCUUCAGUGUACUCCAAGUCAGUGGUACAACAUAUCUUUGUCAGUACCCAAAUGAUCAUUUAAUUAUUUCUAGACAAUCUGAUCUCCAGGAGUAUUAGAGAAUUAGGCACUAUUCUCUUGCAGUACUCUCUUUGUCUGCAUAUCUUGAUCAACUUGAGCAUAUCAAAAAAUCACUCCUAGUACUGAUGACUACUUUAACAUAUCUAUCGUCAGGAGUAGAUCUUCAGUAUACUAGGGACUCAAAUACUGUCCCCAGUGUGUUUCUGAUGAUAGUAUGUUUGCAGUAAUCAUGACAGUAUGGUUCUGAUGACAGCAUAUUUAUGUACUCCUGGAGAUGAUAUCCUCAACAGAGAAAUGUGUGUUUGUGUUUGCAGUAUGAUCAUCAAGCUGUUUCCAGUGACAGCAGCGGAGCCUGGGGAGAGGAGAUGAACCUGGGCCUGGGGUGAGGACAGCCUGGGAUGAGGAGAGCCUGGGCAGCAGCCGAGCCUAGCUCCAGCUCGCCUCAACCUGGGCGGACUUGGAGAGGAGGAGUCCCUGGAGAUGGAGAGGAGUCCCUGGGCAUGGAGAGGAGGAGCGCCUGGGCGCCUGCGUUGGUCUGGAUGGAGGUGGAGCUAUGGCGCCUGGAGGUCUGGGGUGGAGCGCCGGCGAGGGAGCUUCUGAUCGCAGCGGGGAAGGGCGAUCAAAGAGGGGAUCUGGCUCUCGAUUGGAGCGGCGCAGGCAGCCGGCGGGGAAGGACGCCGGAGAUGCGGACGACGGAGGAGCCUGGCGAAGGGGGGGGAGGGACGGAGUCCUCCUCCGCCUGGCGAAGGGGAGGAGCGACGGAGUCCUGGCGGAGGGAAGGAGCGAUGGAGAAAGACGACGACCUGAGCGCGAUUUCAAUUCGGGGGCAGUUUUGUAAUUUCACUACUUUUCACCUGGUCGGAAAAGACCCCCCAGCGACAAUUAUUUCGGAACGGAGGGAGUAUUUCCUUAUAUCAUGAUAAAUGUUUAUUAUUCAUGCUAGAAUUGUAUUAACCGGAAACUUGAUACAUGUGUGGAUACAUAGACAAAACACAGUGUCCCUAGUAAACCUCUACUAGACUAGCUCGUUAAUCAAAGAUGGUUAAGUUUCCUAACUAUAGACAUGUCUUGUCAUUUGAUGAACGGGAUCACAUCCUUAGGAGAAUGAUGUGAUGGACAAGACUCAUCCGUUAGAUUAGCAUAAUGAUUGUUAAGUUUUAUUGCUAUUGCUUUCUUCAUGACUUAUACAUAUUCCUUUGACUAUGAGAUUAUGCAACUCCCGAAUACCGGAGGAAUACCUUGUGUGCUAUCAAACGUCAAAACGUAACUGGGUGAUUAUAAAGAUGCUCUACAGGUAUCUCCGAAGGUGUUUGUUGGGUUGGCAUAGAUCAAGAUUAGGAUUUGUCACUCCGAGUAUCGGAGAGGUAUCUCUGGGGCCUCUCGGUAAUGCACAUCAUAAUAAGCCUUGCAAGCAAUGUGACUAAUUAGUUAGUUGCGGGAUGAUGUAUUAGAGAACAAGUAAAGAGGCUUGCCAGUAACAAGAUUGAACUAGGUAUGAAGAUUGUGACGCCCUCGAUUCAAUCGUACACUAAUCAUACACACAAACGUGUACGAUCAAGAUCAGGGACUCACGGGAAGAUAUC
rnacentral:lncRNA from 1 species